AACGAACGCUAGCGGUGUGGAUUAGGCAUGCAAGUCGCGCGCGAAAGCCUUCGGGCGAGUAAAGCGGCGAAAGGGUGAGUAACACGUAACCAACGUACCCCUCAGACUGGGAUAACCACUGGAAACGGUGGAUAAAUACCGGAUGGUCCACUGGGCAGCAUUGCCUGGCUGGUAAACGGCGGCCGCAAGGCGGUUUGCUGAGGGAGCGGGUUGCGGCCUAUCAGCUUGUUGGUGAGGUAACGGCUCACCAAGGCUAUGACGGGUAACAGGUCUGAGAGGAUGAUCUGUCACACUGGGACUGAGACACUGCCCAGACUCCUACGGGAGGCUGCAGUCGAGAAUCUUCCACAAUGGGCGAAAGCCUGAUGGAGCGACACCGCGUGCAGGAUGAAGGCC
rnacentral:rRNA from 1 species